GGUGACAUGGCCAAGUGGUAAGGCGGUUGAUUGCAAAUCCACCAUCCCCGGUUCGAAUCCGGGUGUCACUU
rnacentral:tRNA from 1 species